rnacentral:miRNA from 1 species
UAGCAUAGAAUUCUCGCACCUA